GAAAAAUAUUGAUACUAGUGCCUGGGUACUGAUUUAAUUGGUCUGGAGUAAUGUCUGAGCAUCAGCAGUUUUAAAAGCUUCCCAGGUGUUUCUAAUCUGCAGCUUAGGUGGAAAACCAGUGCUUUACUCUUGCUUUCCAGAGUGUGGUUCUCAAACCAUUAUCAUUUAUAUCACCUAGAAAUGCAGAACCUCAGGCCUCCCCCUCAGAUCUCCUGAAUCAGAACCUACAUUUUAACAAGAUUCCCAGAAGAUAUGUACAUGUGUAAAGUAUUAAAGUUG
rnacentral:lncRNA from 1 species